UACGAAGGGGGCUAGCGUUGUUCGGAAUUACUGGGCGUAAAGCGUGCGCAGGCGGUUCGUUGUGUCGGCGGUGAAAAGCCCCCGGGCUUAACCUGGGAAUGGCCGUUGAAACUGGCGAACUGGAGUGUGGCAGAGGGGGGUGGAAUUCCACGUGUAGCAGUGAAAUGCGUAGAGAUGCGGAGGAACACCGAUGGCGAAGGCAGCCCCCUGGGCUAACACUGACGCUCAGGCACGAAAGCGUGGGGAGCAAACAGG
rnacentral:rRNA from 1 species